AUGAACGCUGGCGGCGUGCCUAAUACAUGCAAGUCGAGCGAACGGACGAGAAGCUUGCUUUUCUGAUGUUAGCGGCGGACGGGUGAGUAACACGUGGAUAACCUACCUAUAAGACUGGGAUAACUUCGGGAAACCGGAGCUAAUACCGGAUAAUAUUUUGAACCGCAUGGUUCAAAAGUGAAAGACGGUCUUGCUGUCACUUAUAGAUGGAUCCGCGCUGCAUUUGCUAGUUGGUAAGGUAACGGCUUACCAAGGCAACGAUGCAUAGCCGACCUGAGAGGGUGAUCGGCCACACUGGAACUGAGACACGGUCCAGACUCCUACGGGAGGCAGCAGUAGGGAAUCUUCCGCAAUGGGCGAAAGCCUGACGGAGCAACGCCGCGUGAGUGAUGAAGGUCUUCGGAUCGUAAAACUCUGUUAUUAGGGAAGAACAUAUGUGUAAGUAACUGUGCACAUCUUGACGGUACCUAAUCAGAAAGCCACGGCUAACUACGUG
rnacentral:rRNA from 1 species